rfam:Nippostrongylus brasiliensis genome assembly, scaffold: NBR_scaffold0002004
GUCUCAGUAGCAUAGUGAUUAGUGCACAACCCCCUGAUAGAUUGAGACGCGGGUUCGAAUCCCACCUGAAAUG